ACGUAGGUGGCAAGCGUUGUCCGGAUUUACUGGGUGUAAAGGGCGCGUAGGCGGGAUAGCAAGUCAGCCGUGAAAUGCCGAGGCUUAACCUCGGAGCUGCGGUUGAAACUGUUAUUCUUGAGUAUCGGAGAGGAAAGCGGAAUUCCUAGUGUAGCGGUGAAAUGCGUAGAUAUUAGGAGGAACACCAGUGGCGAAGGCGGCUUUCUGGACGACAACUGACGCUGAGGCGCGAAAGUGUGGGGAGCAAACAG
rnacentral:rRNA from 1 species